GCCCCCGUAGCUCAGUGGAUAGAGCAUAGGAUUCCUAAUCCUUGAGCGCAGGUUCGAUUCCUGCCGGGGGUACCA
rnacentral:tRNA from 2 species